CUCAGUGGGAGAGAGAAGAGAGGACAGGCCAGCUGUCCUAACCAGUAAAAUAUUCAACUCUUAACAGGAAGAAAGAAGAGCUAACAUUGUUUAAUAAACUAACAAGCACGUGCUUUCAGAUAGUGAAAUUAAUUAAGAAUUAAAACAGACGUCGUGUAACCGGAAGUUAAACAAAUGAAGAAACUCCAGUGGAAACGUCUGGGUAUGGAUAAUAAACAUUCAGCUCACGGGGAAAAGGAAGACAGCCUUCAAACAAUGCCACAGACGUAAGACCAGCACGCCUUAAAUGCAUUGGACCUGAACCUGGGGCAGGCAAAACCGAGGAAAUCAGAGCUGACUGGGGCACUGACGGAGAAUGCUUUGAGGUUUCCCUUACAGUGCAUGAAAAGGAGAUGGACCUCACAACAUCUUUAUUUAUCUCAAUGUAUCAAAUUAAAGUACGAAAACAAAAAGAUUUCCCACCUGGCCUGAAAACAAUUCCCAGGUUUAGAUGCACUUUUUAAUAGGAAUAAUGUAAAAUGUAAAGUAUUUAAUUUUUUUUGUGUGUAAUUGAUGAUAGUAGGGUUAUUGCUAGUUGUCUUCCUUGACCAGUUUUUAUAGGGUCCAUUUUAAUAUCCCAUUGUAGAGAAGUAGUUGUGCUAGACCUUUGAAAUGUUUUAGGGUAAAUGUAUGGACUCUCAGGAGUGUAGCUCAAGUUAACACAGAAUGAUGAAUUGAAAGAUGUCUCUGGCAGCAGAUUUAGAGGCCUGUAAAAACCACAGCUUUGUAGGUAUGGGACUGAUUUUUUUUUUUUUUUUUUUUACAUAUAAUGUGCUAUGUAUAUGAGAAUAUUAUUUAUAACAGUCCAAAUCAGGUGACUGGUUUGACAGAUAUUAAAGUUUGAAUGUGGAGGAAAAAAACAGACAUUUUCAUCUAACUUUAGAAUAAUAUUGCCAAGUUACAAAGCCAUGUUCCAAAUCAAAAUUAUUUUAUUUGUAGAAAGGGCAAAGUUAAUACUAAGGCCAAUAUGCUGCUGCUGCUGCUGAUGAUGAUGAUGAUGAGGAGGAGGAGGAGGAGGAACUCUCUCCAAGACGGAAAGUUUCCAUGUAACACUUUUUUAAAGCAACUUAUAAGAUAUUUACUGAAACACUUUUAAAACUGGGAUGGUGAGAGUUAGAGCAGUUGAGUUCCACAUGCAAUCAGAAAAGUAAAGAUUCUUGCUAUUCAAAAAAAAAACAAAAAACCCAAACACCCCAAACAAAACAUACCAGUGGCACAAUUGCUGGACAGCACACUCAUAACUGGCUCUGUUUUAGUUUUUCG